rnacentral:rRNA from 1 species
UGGGGAAUAUUGGACAAUGGGCGAAAGCCUGAUCCAGCCAUGCCGCGUGAGUGAUGAAGGCCUUAGGGUUGUAAAGCUCUUUCGUCGGGGAAGAUAAUGACGGUACCCGAAGAAGAAGCCUCGGCUAACUCCGUGCCAGCAGCCGCGGUAAGACGGAGGAGGCUAGCGUUGUUCGGAAUUACUGGGCGUAAAGCGUGCGCAGGUUGUGAGUUCAGUUAGAUGUGAAAGCCCGGGGCUCAACCUCGGAUGUGCAUCUAAUACUGGCUCGCUGGAGGUUGGAAGAGGAGAGUGGAAUUCCCAGUGUAGAGGUGAAAUUCGUAGAUAUUGGGAAGAACACCAGUGGCGAAGGC